UUAAAUUGAAGAGUUUGAUCAUGGCUCAGAUUGAAUGCUGGCGGCAGGCCUAACACAUGCAAGUCGAACGGUAACAGGAAACAGCUUGCUGUUUCGCUGACGAGUGGCGGACGGGUGAGUAAUGUCUG
rnacentral:rRNA from 1 species